UACGUAGGGUGCAAGCGUUAAUCGGAAUUACUGGGCGUAAAGCGUGCGCAGGCGGUUAUGUAAGACAGAUGUGAAAUCCCCAGGCUUAACCUGGGAACUGCAUUUGUGACUGCAUAGCUAGAGUACGGUAGAGGGGGAUGGAAUUCCGCGUGUAGCAGUGAAAUGCGUAGAUAUGCGGAGGAACACCGAUGGCGAAGGCAAUCCCCUGGACCUGUACUGACGCUCAUGCACGAAAGCGUGGGGAGCAAACAGG
rnacentral:rRNA from 1 species